CCUACGGGUGGCUGCAGUGGGGAAUAUUGGGCAAUGGGCGCAAGCCUGACCCAGCAACGCCGCGUGAAGGAAGAAGGCUUUCGGGUUGUAAACUUCUUUUGUCAGGGACGAAGCAAGUGACGGUACCGGCCGAAUAAGCCACGGCUAACUACGGGCAAGCAGCCGCGGUAAUACGUAGGUGGCAAGCGUUCACCGGAUUUAUUGGGUGUAAAGGGCGUGUAGGCGGGAAUGCAAGUCAGAGGGGAAAACUAUGGGCUCAACCCAUAGCCUGCAUUUGAAACUGUAUUUCUUGAGUGCUGGGGAGGCAAUCGGAAUUCCGUGUGUAGCGGUGAAAUGCGUAGAUAUACGGAGGAACACCAGUGGCGAAGGCGGAUUGCUGGACAGUAACUGACGCUGAGGCGCGAAAGCGUGGGGAGCAAACAGGAUUAGAUACCCGUGUAGUC
rnacentral:rRNA from 1 species